UAGACGGUGCCUGCAGCUAUAAAUUUCCUUCAUCUCAACGGCAGAUCUUCAUAAUAUCAGCAACAGAAACCACCAACGUAGCCAUUCGCCGAAUUGCGAAAAUUGCACCUACCCUCGACAACUAACCCUACUAGACAUUCACCUGUCUCAGAUAAGCCACAAGAGACGCGUCUGAGAAGCAAUUUAAUGAAGUAUUUAAAGGCUACACCAGUACAACCUCGCGUCAUUAUUGUACCGCUGUCAGUUGCGAAGCUGGUUUGCAGUCAGCCGAAAGUAUCGUAGUUUGAUGCUAAUAUAUCUUGAUUACGUAACGUUGUCUUGUUCACAAGAAACAUCUUGAGCAGAUCUGAGGCUUGUUUGUAAAAUGGCUACUACCGCCUGCAUUUGCAAUCGACCUCGGCAAGAUUUCUUCAAACUUUGUUGCCCAUUGAAUAGACAACAUGCCACGGAACUGUAAAUCGAAGCAUGGAGCACGUGUAUACACCAGUGCCUCUGAUGAUGUACUCUCAAAAGCGAACAUUCUGCUGAGAGUUCUCAGAAAUAGCAGGUAAUAAUACUGGUCAUCAUCAACAUUACCUUUCUCCCCCUGCCUCAAGGUGUAGGCUACAAAACAAAUUCUUUCAACCUUUCUGUAUCCUAUUCUAGCCUCUUGAUGUUAUUGCAUGUCUUCCCACAUUCUGCAUGUCAAUUUAUGUGAAUCUCCCCCAUGUUUCACACGGCAUUCCCCUUGAUCUUUUACCCUCUGGAUUCCAAUCCGACACCACUUCUUUGUUAUGCAGCUUCCCGACUUCCUGAGAGUAUGUCCAGUCCAUCACCACCGCUUUCUUCCUACCCCAUCUCUGAUUGGGAUCUGUUUUGUUUUCCUUAACACUUCCUCUUUGGUGACCCUGUCUGUCCAUCUGAUCCUCGGUGGCUUUCUUAGACUCUUGUUCAAGAAAACAUGAAACCUCUUUAUUAUGCAAGUCUGAAAUGUGUUCCAUGUCUCACAUCCAAGCGCAGGGCUGACAUUCAAUAAUAUUUGUACCGGUAACAAUAUUUCUGUGUCGGAAGUAUUUUCGAAUCUUGAAAUGCUAUUUGGAGACCCAGCUGCUCCUGCAAUGAGACCUCGUCAAAAAAGGAUGGAUGUGGUUCCCGGGAAGAGCAUUUGUAAUAAUGGCAAAGCAAGGCCGUCUUCAUGUGUCAGUUACAAUCAAACGAAGAAGAGCUAUCAGAACAGGAAUUUCUUUCCUCUAACUCCGAGUCUGAGACUGGCGUUGAAAAUCAGGGACAAACCCGGAACCUCUCUGAAGGCUUCGUUGAACUAAAUUCCAACAAAUCUUUAGAACUUCAGAUUAAAUCUGGUUAAGUAGCAGUGAAUUUACAUGGAACAACUUCAUGCAUGUGCGGUAUUGUUAUUUUUAAUCAUGGGGGAUACAUUGCAAUUUCAAUUCGUUAAAAUUUGAUUUAAAAGAUUGUGGUUCUUCAAGUGUAAUAUUUACAAUUUUGAAAUGUGUUUUGCUUUGAAUGAAAUGCAAGGAACCAUUCUUCCCUUGUUGAAAAACAAUAAACAAUAUUAAUUCUGAACUGAUACACAAUGUCAACAUUACUAGUAGUAGUAUGAUUUAAGUCACCCUCGUGUGGAGUUUACUAUGUCAAAAAAGAACAUUAUGAGGAUGCCUGAGUCACCUUAGCCGGGGCGAUUUUUGCACUCCCCUCUUUUCCCUCAUAUUUUUUAAAAAGAAUUGGACAUAUUUUCUCUCAAAAGGGUCUAGAUCGAUACUAUCAAACCAUCCCCCAAGUUUGGACCCCAAAGAUCAACUUAAACUCACGACAUUUCAAAUUAUGAAUCAUAGAGGAUAUAAAAAUGUGUGUGUGCGUGUGAGUGUG